UACGGAGGGUGCAAGCAUUAAUCGGAUUUAUUGGGCGUACAGGGCGCGUAGGCGGAAAUGUAAGUCAGAUGUGAAAUCCCGAGGCUCAACUUCGGAACUGCAUUUGAAACUACAUUCCUUGAGGGUAGGCGGAGAAAACGGAAUUCCACAAGUAGCGGUGAAAUGCGUAGAUAUGUGGAAGAACACCUGUGGCGAAAGCGGUUUUCUAGCUUACUCCUGACGCUAAGGCGCGAAAGCUAGGGGAGCAAACAGG
rnacentral:rRNA from 1 species